rnacentral:rRNA from 1 species
AUGCAAAUCUUCGUGAAGACCCUCACUGGCAAGACCAUCACCCUGGAGGUGGAAUCUUCGGACACCAUUGACAACGUGAAGGCGAAGAUCCAGGACAAGGAGGGUAUCCCCCCGGACCAGCAGCGCCUGAUCUUUGCCGGUAAGCAGCUCGAGGAUGGUCGCACCCUUGCAGAUUACAACAUUCAGAAGGAGUCUACUCUCCACUUGGUGCUCCGUCUUCGUGGUGGCCAGUGA